GUGACCCUGCAUUCCAGGUUGUCCCACUCAAACCCUUGGGAUUCCUAAGGAGCCUCCAUGACACGAGGGCAGUGAUCAUCCCCCUGGGCCAGGCACGGUGAGGUCGGACCUCAAAUCUUGGGGUCAGUUUUGGGCCCCACACGACAAUAAACACACUGAGGUGCUAGAGUAUGUCUGGAGAAGGGCAAUGGAGCUGAAGAAGGGUUUUGUGCUUUAACCCCACCUGCCAAUUCAGUAAGGAAAAAAAAGGGAGAAACGAACAAGGUGAGAUAAUUUAAUAACUACAUAGAUUCUGAAAAUGCUGGAAGGGAAAGGACAAACAAGGAAGGAAGAAAAGAAAAUCAAGUGAUGUGUGCCCAGUCUGGGGCACAGCAACCACGGAAAGAUGAGCUUUGGAUUCCCAGGGAAGGAAGGAGGGAGGCAGCAGGUCUGGAGAGUGAUGACCUUUGGAAGAAGGGGCAGCAAGUCAGGAGGCCAACAAGGAUGUCGGGAGGUCAUGGAGGGAGAAGAUGAGAAGGGCCAAAGCCCAACUAGAACUUCAUGUGGCUAAGGAGGUAAAAGGAAAGCAAAAUGAUUUUUAGAAAUAA